CGAACGCUGGCGGCGUGCUUAACACAUGCAAGUCGAACGGAAAGGCCCUGCUUUUGUGGGGUGCUCGAGUGGCGAACGGGUGAGUAACACGUGAGUAACCUGCCCUUGACUUUGGGAUAACUUCAGGAAACUGGGGCUAAUACCGGAUAGGAGCUCCUGCUGCAUGGUGGGGGUUGGAAAGUUUCGGCGGUUGGGGAUGGACCCGCGGCUUAUCAGCUUGUUGGUGGGGUAGUGGCUUACCAAGGCUUUGACGGGUAGCCGGCCUGAGAGGGUGACCGGCCACAUUGGGACUGAGAUACGGCCCAGACUCCUACGGGAGGCAGCAGUGGGGAAUAUUGCACAAUGGGCGGAAGCCUGAUGCAGCAACGCCGCGUGCGGGAUGACGGCCUUCGGGUUGUAAACCGCUUUCGCCUGUGACGAAGCGUGAGUGACGGUAAUGGGUAAAGAAGCACCGGCUAACUACGUG
rnacentral:rRNA from 1 species